ACUACAACAGAUACAAAAAGCAAAACAACACUACUUUACAGAGCAAAUUCUCAGCUACAAAAAAACUCUUUUUCAACACAAUCACCACCAUUAGCUGUGCAUUUUCACCAGCAAUAAUUCAGCAGGAGCCUGAGUGCUGUGCUCAUAAAAGUCUGCAUCAGUGGAGGUGAUCCACUGUUCUACAGCUGCUGUGAUGGUGUGGUUGCUAGGAAAAUGUUGCCUAAGCAGUCCAUCUUUCAUCAGCCCAAACAGAUGGAAAUCAGAAGAUGCCAAAUCAGGACUAGAUGGUGGAUGUGGCUGGACAGUCCAGCAGAGAUUGGCAAUGUGCUCCAUCGUCUUCAAACAGAUAAAAUGGCAGACAUCACAGUGGUGGGAAUGGCACAUUAGUCCUCAUCUGGGAGGAGAACACAUCUCACUGUCUAACUCAGAAAACAGCUGUUUUCUUCGGUGACUUUCUUCUUGAUCUUCAAAACAAAAGCCUCCCAUGCCCAUGACCAGUGAAGCUUGCCUCAUUCCCAGGACGAUCCCUGUUGGAAACCCAAGUCCAGCCUUACCCCAUCAAGCUUUAUGGCCUCCUAGGGCUUCCCAAGAAAGGAUCCCAGCUGGUGAUCUGGUUGUCACCACGAUUAGCAGGAGUCUUCCCAGGGCAUCAUGAUCUUCCACAUGAGAAAUUCCUCAAGUACUGACUAUUGGCAGGAUGACAGAAGCACUUCUGCAUGCAUCUCCCAGAGGAAACCCAGAGGGCAGAAUUUGAGCCAUAAGAUAUCUCAAAUAAGGAGAUCUGGACAUGAUCUCAGGGGCUGGUGGUGUCCAGGACCAAAUUGGAGCCACAUCACACCCAGUGCUGAGGAGCCACAUCAUGCCCAGUGCAGAGGAGUCAUGUCAGUGGAGCUGGAAUUCUUCUCAUUAUUUGAAGCACUGCAGCUUUCCUGUACUCACUCUUUUGCAUAAGAUGGUCUGUCUCCUUAUUCCCUGACUCCUGUGAUGCCAGACCCAGUGGCUCACCAAUCUAUGACCUGGACACAGGCCUCCAUGGGUACAAAUAUAAACUAAUAAAGGGGAAAUAAUGGAAAUGGGUAAGUGUUUCUUUGCUACCUUGAACCUUUAUCACCCAUCUUUGCUUUACACCAGGUUUUGCUUUUUUUCCCACGAGACACAAUGCAUCCAGUUUUCUCUCUUCACUGAGUAACACAUCUGAGAAUUAUAAUGUGAGGAGGAAAAAAUCUGCUAUUUGAAUACUGAGUUACAAUAGACAAAACUUGGGCUCUUGUAUUAACUUGAGGGACAGGUAGUUUCUCCACUUGUCAGCAGUCAGCAGUCGAUGUUGUAAGUUUAAGGGGUAUAAAAAAAUAUGCAUAAGAAAUCCUCCUUUAUUCUUUAUUUUCUUGUUUAAAUUUCCUUGCAGAAAGGGAUUUGGGUUGUGAUGUUACUUUCAAGAGGUCUGCUUGGAAAAACAAAUCUGAAAAAAAGCUGCAAAUCAUUAUUGCAAAUUAAUAUAAGCAAGACUUGUGCUGGGGAGUCUGGCUGCUGUAACUACAGUAAUACCAAAAAGAGUUGUACUCUGCAACUCUGGAAACAUGUCAGGCACAUGAUCCUGUUUUUCUUUUGAAGUUCCUUCUCCAGAAAUAUUAAAGAAAUAGCCUGUAAACUGUUGAAUUCACCAUGCACUGCUGAACAGCACCCUAUAAGGAAAACGAGCACAAAGGAAUUUAGACAGGACCAUGGAAAUCUCUACAGGUUACUUUCUAAAUAACUCUGAAACUAUUUUCUCAGAUACAUUAAACACAGAAAGAAUAAGAGCAGGAGAAUACCUCGACCCAGUUCAACCAGUUUCAGCUGGUUCAAGCCUAUUCUCACCCUCUCCCUCCCAAGUCACUUUUCCAGGAGCAAGUGUUCGCUUUCUGUAUGCUCAUAUGUAAAUCUGACACUGACCUUUUUCUACACUGCAUUUAUCAAUGCAAAUCUGAACCCAUUCUUAAGACCAAAGAAUAUCUGCAAGCCAUCUAAAUGGUCCAAUUAGGACAUAACUAUCUGCACUAUGGUUUUGUACUCCACUAAAUAGCUUGGCAUCAGCUCCUUUAAACUAGGCAUGCUGAGUUAGCUGGGGUUCAUGUUAACCUUAUCUAUGGCAUCAGAACCAAAAUUUGUGUGUAAAGAACAAAUUAUCCCUUUCAUGAUUACAUUCAGUAUCAUGUCAUGCAAGAGGUAUGCACAACAGGGAUUUCAGCCUGCUGUAGGUUUUCCUGUCAUCACGUUACCUUAAAAACAAUAACUUGAUAAGCUAUUCAGAGCCUGAGGAUCCUGUGCCGGGGAGUUUUGAGUUUCAAGGUAUCUUCCUCUACCGAGGCAAAGAAUAAUAAUCAGCCAUGGCCCAGGUUAUCAGCUUCCUCUGUUACAGUGUUGUGUGAUUUUGCUCCGUGGUGAUGCAGCACUGCAAUGAUUUAUAUCAAAGCAAGCAAACUUCAAGCUGAAACUGCAAAAAUACAGGUAAGGUCAGUGAUAGGAACUGCUAAAAUGUUGCAGCUUCUCUGAAGCUGCAAAGGAGCCCACUACAAACACUACAAAGCUGAGAACGUUUCCCUGGUCUUUGAUUUCUGAUUUUUGAAAGGUAGUAAUAGAGCCAGCAGGUAACCUAAGACAAUCAGGGAAUAUUUUAACAGUGCUGCCAUGUAUCUGAAUUUCACCUAUUGCUUUAUGCGAUUUAUAAAUUCCUUUCAUUCAUGGAAAGACAGAAAGGUGUUACAAAUAAAAUUAAGGUCUGUAGAGGAUGAUUAUGCAAGGAAGUGAUUAUGAUUGGUAGCAAUUAUUUACCUGUAUACAGUCAUGGGCAUUAAUAAUGGCAAAGGUACGUGAUGGUAAUACUAGGUGUUAUUAAAAAGAAUGAUGGGAGUGAUUCAGUAGUUGGUUAAUUAGCGGAGGGUUAUAACACAGGUGUAAGAAGAAAACUUCUUUCUUCCUUAUUGUUCUGUGUCUGAAAAGUGGGACAAGUGAAACUAUGGCCAGAGCACUGUGCUUGAAAACCACACAUCUGCACCCAAGGACCAAAGUGACCCUAAUUGCUGACACAUUCUGGCAGCAUUCUCUGAAGGUAGUUUCAUGAUGUAAAGUUUUUUUCCAGUCUUUGCCUCCAUGAAACAUGUUUGUCCUGAUAUAAUUGCAGGCACGCAAAGGGAGCUUGUUGGCCCCCAUCUCUUCCAGUCUUCCUGCACACACCCACUCAGGUAUCAGCGGCAGUGUCUCUGCACCUCUCCCUAUCAGCACUCUGACUAUUUGCUAUGUCAAGCUCUUCUAGACCUGUUUCCCUUUUUAAAUGAUUUAUACUCAAUCAUUCUCUUUGUAGCUUAAUGUUCAAUUCAUGGUCUCCAGCCCCCCCUCCCCCCAACGUGAUCUUGUAGGAAGCACCUGAAGCAUGGUAAAACCCCAAUUCUCUCUCUUGACUAGCUGAUCCAUUUCACCUGUUAGGUUUUUUGUUUGUUUGUUUGUUUGUUUUUGUUUUUUUUCCUCUGAAAUGAUUCACUUCUAAACUUUCUCUCUGAACCAGCCACCAGAUGUUCAAGGGACCAAGAGGUAGAAGCUAGCAGCUUUUUCUCAUUCUGAUAUCAAUGUCUGUGUGUGUAAAAAUCAGAAAGCUGAGAGGAGUUGGGCAGUGGGGAGACCUUUGUCAUGCUCCCUAAAGAUCCUUCUACUGGAAAAUGAUGUCAGGCUUGUAUUCAUUACUAUACAUCUUAGUUAACUGAGUUUAUGUUUACUGUAGAUUUUUUCUCAUAGUGGUUCCAUCACGAUUGGGAUUUUGUAUUAGUGCUAGGUAACUGAACAGAUUUUAUGUUAGUAAUGAGUACAUUAAUUUUAAAAUUCACUUUUUGCCAACCACUCUUUUACUCUUCAUGCAUUCUCAGAAAGUCUAAGUAUGCCACUGUUGCCAGUAAUAAUUUUUUGUUGUUGUUGCAUUCAAAGGCAUAAGGGUGUUUUGUUGAACCAUUUAACAAAAACCCUUCUUAGGACUGCCUAUUGUGAUUAUUGGGAACUAAGGCUCUAUGGGAAAAUUGAAAUAUGUGUUCUGAGUUACCUAAUGGCGCACGUUACUAGUAUAGUUCCCUUUCAUUCCUUAAAGAUCUCAUCUUUACCUCUGCUCCGUUCUUUAGAUAACAUGCUAAAUACUUCAUACUGUAUUUUUAAAACAAAAGUGAGCAUUUUUCAUACCUUUUAUCCUCUACGGAGUCAUGUGCUGUAGAGGAUUGCUAUUAGUGUGACUUUCUGGAUCUUCAAUACAUACUGUUUUCUAAAAACUUUCACGCAAUUGGUCCUUUCAAUGCUAUUUCAGGGUGUGUUGGUUUUCAGGAAACAGAGGCAUCACAGCAGAAGUGUUACUGGUAUGUUUAUUAGGAUAAAUAAAUGUGCUUUCACAUCUGUAUUUAAAUUGUUCUUUGAUGAGCUUGUCAGGACAGUACACUCAGAACAGCAUUGGAGUACUAAUACAGUAAUGGGGAAAAUAUCACCUUCGUUCUUUCUUGGAAGAUGUGGCUGCAAACAGCAGAAAGCUGGGUGUAUGGGAAGUGUUGCUGGUGCUGUGACACUAUGGCUGUGGGCAGCAGGGCACAGGGCUCAAGGUGGAGCUAGGCUGGAAACACCAGGAAGGAUAUGUUGAGAAAAUAGCAAUAUUUUUGUGACUUUUCCCUUCAGGGCAGCUGACACACCAGGCAAAGAGGAUGCUUUGAGGGACUGGGAUGCUCCUCUCUGCUGGGAGCAAGGCAGGAGCUGGUGCCACAGCUGGCUGCUGUGCAUCCCCUUGUCUCACACCACUGCAAGUGCCUGGGGAGGGAAGCAGGCUCCUCUGGGAGCAGCAAGCACUGGGCAGCCCACGAGCACUGGGCGGUGGGAACAUAUGGGGUUUUUAACUUCGCCUAAUAAAAACCCAGCUGCCGGAGGCAAGCGAGAGGAUGGGAAUGUGAUUGUUCUCUGCCUGGCCUCAUUGUGAAGCUUGCUGUUGAAUUCCAUGCUAGCGGAGCCAAAAACAGCAGAACUAGAAUUAAAAUGUAGUUCUAAGGCAUAAUAGCAUGUUUAUUUUUUUGUUUUUCUAAUAGCGUGAUUAGGAAAGUUGAUCCUUUAUGGAAUACUUGGCUAAAAUGAAAAGGGCGUCAAUAUUUUUUUUUUCCAAAUAAAUACAGAUUUGAAUUUCAUCAAACAGGAUCCUUGUAAAAAUAAUUACAAAAACAGAUAUUAGCUGAGCGUGAGCCAAACAACCCCUUGUUUACCUGAAUUAGAAAAAGGAUGAUUAAUGGUAAUGAGCGUGUUACAUUACUCAUUUGUCAAAAAAGAUCAAUAAUGUUAAAUACCCCAGGAAUGUCAUCAAGCUGCCCCCAGUGCUCUGCAAGUUUUAUGAACAAUUCUAGCAGAAAACCCUAUCUGAGGGACCGCUCCUCCACACCUAUAGAGCUGCCUCCCUCCUCCUGUCCCUUCUCCUCGCUUGGUGCUGAGGAACAAGCCCUGCUCGUAGGCAGAAAAAGAAUUCAAAAAUAAGGAUGGCCAUUUUUUUUUAACUUUAGUUCGGUUAUUUUGCAGUUCGGAUCAUUUCAUGAGAACUGAUAUAGUUUCAGUUAGGCAAAACGUUAACUCCACAGAUAGGAUGGAGGAGGAUGGGUGAGCCCAUCAGUGCUGCCUGUGCACCCAGAGGUGGGGCGGUGGGCCCUGCUGGCCCUGCUGCCAUCAUGCAAUGCACAAGAGAGCCUGGGGAGAGGCCGGGCUGUUGAGGGAUCACACUUUGCUUGUGGCAACAUUCUCUCUCCUUAGCUGCUCUGUAAUUAGUUUUUCGUUUCUGUGCUUCUUCGCAAUGCAAUGCAAAUUCCUGCAGGCAGCAGCACCUGCCAUGGAGGACCAAUUAGUGGUCACUGUGGGAGAACAUGUGCUGCUGUACUGAGGUGGUGCUGAGCUGGUUCCUAUUACGAGCCUUUUUCCAUCAAGAGUCCUGAGAUAUCAGGAAAUGGUGGAGCAAUAAAGCCUAUGUAAGAGUUUAAAAACAAAUGCUUAGAAUUUAUAUUAAUUAAAUGAGCUCUGACUAGUAAUUUUCUGGAAAACCUUCUCAGAGUUAUGUUAACAUUCAGGUUCUUUAGAUUCAGGAAGGACACAUUCCCUUAGUUUGCAUAAAGUGGGAUACAGACUGUCAUAAAAUCUUACUGGUUUUUCAGAUUCCUCCUCUGAUCCUGAGUCAAUUUACCUUCCCCUUGGCUUGCUUUUUCCACCUACAAAUUAUGUACAUUGCUAUUUAAGUACCUGACAGAGAAAUUUCAAGUUUUAAUUAGUGUUUGUAAAAUGCUUUGGGUUACUUGGAUCAAAGUGUGAUUUAUUAUUCAGUAAUGUAUAUUACUGCACUGUAGGUGUGCAUGUGCGUGAUGCAAAGUGGGGUAACAGUUAAUCUAUUCAUUUGUACUUUAUUAUCUGUUUAUAUAAAAUGGGUUGCUAAGGUUCGUAUUCUUUAAUUUCCAACAAGUUUGAUCAAAGGUGUUUUGAUUUUUCACAACCUUGACUUUAAUACAUACUGCAGUGCAUUUUUAUGUGGAAAAAAUCUUAUCGUAUGAAGGGAAAGGGCGACUAACACUCUGAAUUGGAAUCUUCUGUAUUUUUUAAUUGAGCUUUUUGGUCCAUCUGAUAAAGAACACAUGCAUAUCACACUGGCUUAAAGGCAUCAUAGGAGAUGAGGUUUGAGUUCUCCGUUGUGAUUUUAGGACAGCAUGCUGGUGAAAAUCCCAUCAAAGCUAUGAUGUUCAGCUCACUGGGAUACUGGAGUGUGCUGGAACCCAGGACUAUGCAGGCCAGGCGUAUGAGCACUAUUAACAGAAUUUGCUUUCACUAAUCCUUGUGUGUGAGACCCAGCAGACUGGGCCAAGCCAGGAAUUGUAUAUCUACAUCCUCAGAGAGAUAAUUUGCCAGUAGGAGUGUCUCCCACCUGAGUAUUCAGACUCUGAAUCAAUCAUCUUUGUUUACAUUUUCUUGAUAUGAGCAGAUUUCUCUGCAAGUUGUUUUAAGUACAGGCGAUUUUCCACAUGUUGAGAAUGUCAGACUAAGAAAGCCUGAGAUUCACUCCAGUGCAAAUCCAUGCUUCCAGAGGUACCUGGAAAGCUUGAGCCAGCCAAUUCAAUGUGUGCUAUCACCAAUAGCAUCAUUCAGGUCCUCUUAAACCUUAAUUUCUUUCCAUCUCUGCCCUGUUCACUGUAGGUUUGUUCCCUGUGAUGGUCCUUCUGAGCCCACUUAUUCAUUACUGAGCAGCAAGUGAGAGAACAAAAGGAAGAGGAACCUAUGGUUUUAGCACUUAAAAGCAAAAAAGCUAUCAGAAAUGUGCAGAUUAGAAGAGCAGAGCAGGAUAUCUGAUAGUGGAAAAGGUACAGAUUGCAGACAAGGAAAUGCUUAGGGGAGGUGUGAAGAAGGAAAGCCAAGGGCCUGGGGAAGCUGUGCAAAUCCAUGUGAUGGGGAGGGAGGCCCUUGGCCUUGUGUGAUGCUGCGGGUGGAGCAGCAGCCAAACAGCAUACUAAGAAAAGGAAAAAUAGCAUUAAACUGCAGGGAUGCAAAUACAGACUGUUUAUAAGAUGAUGGGGUGAUCAUAUGCCAGUACAAAAGCCCUGGGGAGGCCCCAAAGACAUGAGCUGGUGCUUACUGCGGCUGUAGUGCAGUGAUCUCCCCACAACCAUACUCCUAUAUUUUUCUGGAGUCUGUGAAGUUAGUAGCAGUGCAAUUAUAGCAAACCUGAACUGAAGUUAAUUACUUUUGUUACUAGCAAUCAGAUCAACUGCAUCAUUUUGAUAGAACUGAAUGCAUGACUGAAUGCAUGACCUGUAUUGAAAAAAAAAAAAUUGCUGGGUGGUGUUGACCACAAGGUUGAAUUGAACUUCAGUGCAGUUUCUUAUUGAUGAAUAUACUAUGGAUGUAACUGUGUAUAUAGUAAAAUAUAUAUGUGUUAAGUAUGUAAGAUGUACAACUAUGUGCCCCACAACACAUUUACAAAUGCUUGUUUCAGCUUUGUAAAAACACAAAUGUAAGUGAUUAACAGUGGUUUGAAGCAAAGCUGACUGAUAAAUUAGAAAAGGAAUUCAGUAUGCUUUUUUUAAAGCUGAAUUCUUGCACAAGAAGCUAAUUCAUAAUAUUGGGGGAAAAAAAAAUAGGAGGAACCACUCAGGAUCGCGGCCACUAUGGCAAAGUCUGUUAUUUUCUCUUUCCUUCCGGUCUCCAAGGUUUCACUCCUCCAUGUGACCCUAAAGAGUGGACACAAAAGAUAGGUAUUUGCUUGAAAGGCGAGAAAUAAUAAAAUAAUAUGUCUUGACUUUAAGUGGUUCCACACAGCACUGGCUCUUGAGUCUGAUUUUCUUGCCUGUCUACAUAUGGCCCUCUCUCAGUUCUUUUGCUAUUGUGUUCAGUGUCACUUUUGCUGAAGGGAAGUGGCUGAAAUGUCACUUUAACCAAACAUCUUGAGAUUUUAGAGGCAGUCCUGAACUUGAAGAGACUGAUUCUCGUGAGAAAAUCCUGCUGCUGGACAGGGAGAUGUAAAUCACAGCUGGCUUCCAAAAUUAGCCAGAAAACAGAUUUUUUGCAAAAUUGCGUAGACAGCAAAGCUGGGCUCUGACAGCCUGAGGAAUCCAGCUGCACCACGACAUAGGGCUGCACAGCUCACCUGCAUGCCUGCUGGAGAUGUUCUGCUGGUAUCAACCCAAAGGUUUUCGGUGUUGUUUUUUCUUUCUCUCAAAAGAUGCUAGAUAGAUUUGCCAUGGGACAACUUAGAGAGAGUAUGAUGCAAGCACACUGAUGUCGUCUGAUACCUGUGAAGCCAGAUAUUUUCUCCCACAUCUCAUACUAGAGAUGAGCAGACAAAAGGUGAAAGAGAGAACAGCAGAGAGACCAUCCACAGAGGGAGAUGGGCAAUUGUGAGAAGAGGUCGAGAACAGAAUAGGAAAGAAGGAGCGGCAGAGCUGAAGGCCAGCGGGAGGACAGAGGCCGUGAGUAGGAGGUGGACCCACUCAUCCCACACGUAAACUCUUUUCACUGAGGCAGCGGGGAGCAAUCUCUCUGAAAAGCACCUACCACAAGGAAGGCCUGACUCUUCCUGUGCCUUAAAGACAUGACUGAAACAGAGAUAUUCAGUCUCGAAACAAAAGCAGGCAAAGUGAAGUUACGAAUGUGACGGGCGUUUGACUGCAAAGGCUCACAAGUAGCACAGUGCUGGCUGUCCCCUUGAGUGAGAACUGCACCAUCAGGUAGCCCAAGUUGCACGUACAGUUACCCAAAAGAGUUCCUUCAUGUGAUUAUGAUCAGAGAAAUCUACUUUUAAAUUGAUCUUAGUCAAUAAGUAUCCCAAUAACAUUAUAUAGCUUGGGGCAAAAUCUGAGUCAACUUACUCUGCAAGAAUUCUAAAAUGUGCAAAAAUAAUUUCAUCCUCCUCCCUGGAAUUAGGCUCUUUCUGCUCUACAAAUUGCUCCCAUCUGGAAGGGACUAAACAUUGUGUUUUGAGAUUUCAAUAACUUUACUUCUUCUUUUCCUUUUUUAUUACAAAAAAUUUUGUUCAAACAAGAAAAAUUCAGAUAUAUUAUGAGACUCUUUGAAUAGGAUAGACAACUACUUCACUUAAAACAUGCUUCCAUGAAAUAGUUUGCUGCCUGUUUGUAGUUUGCUGCCCGUUAGCUUCCACAGUUUUUGUAUGCCUGGCAGGUAAUGGGAGGAGGGGGAGGAAGAGGAAGGGAGAGGGAAAGCAGAUCACCCAAGUGGUGUGAUUUGGUCGAAAGCUCCAGACCUGGAAAAUUUUUGCAUACUAACAUCUGAAACAGGUGAUUCUGGGCUCAUUUUGUGAGUGUGAGUUGCUGUGUGUCGACCUUAUGCUCCUGAGCCUUCUCAGAUGCGUAGCCAGAAGGGAUCUGGCAGUGUGUGAUUUUUUUUUACAUCUUUCAGCUAAAUCAGAGGUUCUAAUGCAAAAUGCACUCAGGGAUAGCAUAGGGAAUUGUGACACUCCCUGUAGGACUUUUCCAUAAACUAAUAAAUGGAUUACACUGAUCUUUGUAGUUUUUUCAUCUGUGACCGCUAAAAUGUGAAUAAAAUCUUCAUUUUAAUAUUUCAUAAUAAUCUUCAUUUAAUCAGCAAUCCAAGCAUAAUUUAUUGGAUAUCUCUUAGAUUAUUAUGAAUGAAGAUUUUAUGUGCCAGUUACAAAGGGCUGGGAAUAUGUACAUAGCUAAGUAAAGAAACUGAAAUUCACAUUAAUGGAGUGCAGAAAUCUGGAGCUGUAAACAGAGGGGGGAAAUGCAAGUAGCAACAGUGGGUAAAAGCAAGGGUAUUGCUCCACAUUUAAUGGCUGACUGUUUUAAGGUCCCCAGUCAUCUCCUCUGGUCAAUCAUUAACUGCUAGGAAAUGUCCUCCCAUUAGCUGUUAUUGCUUAACAACAAGUUAAUAAUACAUGUUUAACCAUAUUCAUUGUUUUUUUUAACUGCCCCAUAACUGGUAAGAGCACAUGAGCAAAUGAGAAUUAUAUCCACAGAGCUGAGACCCAAAGCAGAGGGAUGCAGGUACUCCAUCUCCUCUGGAGCAGCUGUGCUGCGCACCUGCCUGUGGGUCUUCACCAUGCUCUUACAUAGCUGUGAUGUACUUUGUCAGGGGUGGCUGCUGAAGUGUUUGCAACCAGGCAGAAACAGAAAAAGCCUGUGUUUGGAAACCUGAGGACUACAGAUUAUAGGGAAACUGAUCAUAUAAACUUGCAUUUUAUUGUUUAGAGUGUUGUUUUCUACUGCUUUACAGGUUUUCACGGACUUACUGGGAUUAUAAUGAAUUAAAACACAAUAAAAAAUAACCUGAUUAAGGUUAUUAAGAGGUUAUAUCAUCCUUAAGCCAUACAAAGGCUCAUGAAUAAAGGAGUGGCUGUCAGCUGAGAGGUCUGCACUAUGAUUAAAAACAUGAAAAAAAAACAAAAAUACUUUCUCACCUGGAAGGAUAAGACGAAGAUUUACUGUCAAAGAAUGUGCUGAAAAGUCCUUUUCUUCUGUGCAGCUCAGGCUGGAGAAUGUCCAAGGCAUUUUUUCAUAUCCAAAUAUGAAUGAAAUAGAAAGUACUAUGAUUUUUUGCUGUAGUUUGAAUAUUAGCAAGUGUUUGUUAUGAAGGACAGCAGCACACUGUGAUAUUAGCAAACUCAGAAAAAAAAAAAGAAAAAAAAAAGGUGGUCAUGUCUUCUAGAUUUUUCCAAGUUCAUUUUAUCUCACCAGAGCAAUGGAAAAUCAGUAUGAAAUUCCGCUAACCCAACCAUUCUGCUGUGCACAGAGAGUCAGAGUCUCUUAGCAAGCCCUAUAGUAUCGCAUCCAUUUAUUAAAGCCAGCCAGAUAAACUAACAGCUAUGUCACUCCUGCAGCAAGUUUCAGGAGGCCACAACUCCAUGAACCUGAAACUUUGACUGCUGACAAGAAGUUGCUUGAAGUGGAAGUGUUACAAAGAAGCCACCUUCCACACAGAAUCGCUGCCCUGGCUGCUGUCCCCAUCUGCUUGGCAGUGCUGUGGGGCAGGCGUGCCAGCAGGCUCUGAGCAGCAGGUCCCGCAUGCUGCUGUGUUCCUCAUCAAACGCCCUGUGCUGCAUGGAUGCCUUCCUCCAGGUACUGCGUGCUACAGACAGCCCUGGCUGUGAGUCUGACAGGCGUGUACUUGCCUAUGAUUGUAAUGAAGAUGCAACUGAAGAUGCAGGUAUCAUGCAUUCUCUUAGGGGAUUUUUUUUCUAAUUUCAGAUUCUAACUACUUUCUUCUGUGGCUGAUCGAUGUUGUAGCAAUUCACCCUCCCAGAUUUUUAUACCUGUGGCUGGCAAUGUUGGUUGAAGUAGAAAUGAGAGCAAAGCCCAUAUACAUCUUCCUACAAAGUUGUUGCACUUGUCCCAGCAUUCUGACUGUAAGUUUGACUGCAAUACCAGAUGCUUCUAAAUGGAUUAUAAUCUGCAUAAUCACAGCAGUGUGAGAUGUAGAACAGGAGACAGGGAAGCUACUACAGGAGAAAGGAUUACUGGUGCAUCUGACUUAAAAGCAGUAUCUUAUACCUUAUGCAUUGUAGGUAAAUCAUUCACAAAUUGUGCUCGGCCAGCUUUGCAACUUCUCAUCUGAAGGAGAAAAAUUACUGACUCCUGCAGUGUCAUUUUAUGCCCUCGUGCAUGAGAAAACUCUACUGCUAUUCACUUAAAUAACUCUUUCUUUUCUAUUUUUUUUUUCCUCCUUUCAGUCUUCUAUUUAUUCUAUUGGAAUUAAGCAUUUUCCUGCACUCCCAGAAGUACCCUCUGGCUAAACUCAUUUACCUGGCCUUGGUUCUGGCAUUGCCAGCACAUUCACUGUAAUUGCAGUGCUUUAUACUGUUUAUUACAACAUUGUACACUUUCAUGUACUGAGGGUGACAUCCAGGAGUGCUACAUUUAUGCUUUAAACAUAGACACCAAAAAGACUCAGAAAUGCUAAAGAUAAGAGUAUGCUUUGUUGCAAGCACAACAGCAGCAAGUUACAAAACUUCUUCAUCUUUAGCCCUCAAUAGUGGCAUGCUGCUGCAGCUAUAGGAAAGGCUGUGCAAGAGUAGGGAGCUGUGAUGCUCCAGCUGUGCCCCUGCAACUCAGUUACUUACAGCUGAGAUGACUCGUCCUCUUGGUUUUUCUGCAUCUUAGCAAUAACGGCAGAUAGCUGCUGUCGAGGCACCACGUCUGACUGCUGCAGACUGACUGCAUAGUACUUUUAGCAGCAUUAUUCACAGGAAUUACUAACUUCAGCCAUGAAGCUGUGCAGCUGAUUGCAGAACUCUGUUAUCUCACAUAAUAAAUUAGGUUUAUUAAACCAAGCCUUGAAUUAACUGUCUCAUUUGAAACUCAGUCUUAGGCUUUCAAGUCAUAUUUUUUUACAAAUUAACCUGAAAAUACUGAUGGCACGAGUAAUGUUGAGAAUAAUGUAUGUUUCCCUUGCUAUGGGGUAGAUCUUCAGCUUAUCUGAACAUGCCUAUGAGGGAUGUGAGCAGAGAAGUAAAGCAGAAUUUCAUGUGCCCAAAGCUGUGCCUGGUGCCCAUGUGCAAUGGGAACGCUGGGUGGGUGCAGGGAGAGGGGGACGUGCUCUUGAGAAGCAUCCCACGCUGUUAGUUUCUUCAUCUCUCCUCAGCUGGGCACAGGGUGUGGGCCUCCUUGAUCCUCAAUGUCUUUGAAGUGAUGCAAAUCUUGAGUGUGACUAAGCCGACUUUUUUCUUCCAGCUGGCAGUUUCACUCUGAACACUUCAGUCCAGCUAAAUCUGCAGAAGAGAAUGAAGGUGGAGACUUGUGCACAUCUGAAGCUGCUGUUUCUAGGUGGUCUUCAGGUUCACAUAGGCAGAGAUGAACAACCCCGAUCUGGGUGCAUGUGGGCAGCAGUGUGACGGGAGCCUGCACCAGAGCUCUGCUCCUUCUUUCUGGGAAGACCUGCUUUGGCAAGCAGAUUGGUUCUGCUUGCUCCUCUCUAUCAGGUCAAGUUCUUGGCUAUAAGAGAUUGGCCCAGGAACAAAAGGUGUUGUUCCUUACAGUGCUUGCACAUUUCCUGACUGACCUCUUCUUCCUCAUCUGACUUGAAAGAAAAGAUGCCAGCAUUGAUCUUCGGAUGAACACGAGUACUGUGGAUUUUGUAAAUUUCAGAAUGUGAAUUAGGCUUAAUAAAGGUCUGGAAGCAAAGGCAAAGAACAAUAUUGUCUGCUGGCCUGUUUUUGGUAUGUAAGCAAUGAAGCACCUGAAGGAAAACAGAACAAAUGACUAGUUAAUAUCAUUAACUAGGGAAAAAAUAGCCUCAGUUCUUCUUAGAGUAUAAAAUGGUUGUACGUGGGAAUUGUGGAAAGACCAGCCAUCACUAUUUUACCUAAAAGUUGUCGUCGUGGAGCUUGGAACUCUGUCACGCUGGUGUGUGUACAAACAUGCGGUCUCCCAUCCCAAGGAGGAUCAAAAGAACUCCACAGCUGCAAGAGGAGAAACAGCUCUUUCUCUUAAUUUACAUACAUGAAACCGAGAAGAAGCUCCAAAGAGUUUGAUGCCUCUGUGUUACAAAGCAGAAGACUCCUGGGCUUCCAGUAAGACUCUAAGAUUGUUUAGCACUGUCUUCAUCCACUAGUUUGCCAAAAACAGUUAAACUUAAAUAAAUAAAUAAAUAAAUAAAAUAACAUAAAUUUGGAGUAAAAAAUUAUAAAGGAAAUAUUUUACAUAACACAUAGAUUCACCAAUAGGACAUAAAAUUAUUGCAAUUAUUUUCAUAUCGUUUUUAAAAGCACAAUAGCUAUUUUUUUAAGAGCAUGGAUUUGAAGUAAGAAAAUCAUGAUGGAAGCCUGUCAGCCAUGACACCCUGUGUCCCUGGGAGAAGGCAGUGUGACCCUGUUACGAUAUCACCUGAGUACCAGAUGCAAGACCACUAUAGAUGUGGUAGGAAACUGUGGGAUGAUACUGUCAAAUCUGUUGAUCUGCUAAUGUGUACAUACUUAAAUAUAUGUAACUUCUCUUAGCCUUUCUGUCAGCAGGGAGCUUCUUCAGACAAUUUAAAUGUAAUUGUCUCUAUAUCCUAUACUUUCACAUUAAAAAACAAUGUGUUCUGGAA